rnacentral:piRNA from 1 species
UGGAAGCAGCUCGUGGCCCACUUCUCAGC